rnacentral:lncRNA from 1 species
GCACUUUGAUUAUAUAAAUUAGACGGUUGGCUAUCCUGUUUAAAUUGUUUUUCACUAGUCAUUUUGCUGUUCAGUGAGCAAAGAUUGUUGAAGGCCUUACUUUGACCUAUAACUUUAUCCUGACUUGGAUGAAAAGUUCUCAUUGGUCCACAAUGAUUAAAUCAUUAGAAUACUUACUUUGAAAAGGUGUCCAAUAACCCCACCUGCCAACCAAGAUGGGCGACAUGAAUAAUAACAGAACAUAAAAAUGCAAUGCAAGUUUUUUCUUUAAUAAAAUUUAUAAAAACCUUCUAUAAAUAGAGGAAAUUGGAAUGAGGCUGAAAUGUUCACAAUAUCUAACCACUGAAUUUACGUCAAAACUGUGACAACUAUUUUUUUUUCAAUGUUUGUCUAUUAUCUUGAAAAUUAUAAAAGGUAAAGAGAAACUUUUGUAUCAAAAAUGUUCAGCAAGACUAUUUCUUCAACUAAGCCACCAGGGCUGAAGUCAUCGCACUGGCUCCUUAUUAAAGUUAUUUUCUUUUAUUCAAGACGAUUUUUAUAAAAAAAAAAAUGCGUUUUUGCCUAAUACCUCAACAACUAUAAUGGGUAGAUGGAGACCUAAACUAGAUCAAAUAUUAACAUAACUAUUUCUACAAAAAAAUAAAACAUAGCCGAAAUUGGCAGUCAAUUCCUCAUCGGAGUUCUUGUUCUUCAAAAACAAUUUUUAUCAGUAUUUUACGCUUUUAACCAUUAUCUUAAGAUGAGACCGUCACUUUAAAUAGAAAACAUUGUUAUAAGAGGGGCCUGAUUUUUUUUUUGGGGGGGGGGUAGUCUCAUCACGAUUCACAGAAAAUAAAUUUCCAUGAUGACGGAUCACGAAAAUAUAAAAAAAAAAAAAUCUGUUGAAAAACGAAUUACGAUAAUGAAAAUGCGCCGAUCACGAAGAACAAAAAUAACCCAUCAGGCCCCUCUUAUAAGACAAGAUGCUAAAAAAAUGUCAGCAGAUGCUUAUAACCAACCGUCUAACUUACACACAGGUUACAUUUAGUACAUACAUAUGUAUAUGCAUCCUAUUGAAAUGACAUCAUGCCAUGGUAAACUUGUAGAAACAUAUUUUUAAUAGCUAUUGAUUCGUAAACUCUGAAACUAUGUUAUAGAAAUCAAACGAACGUCUUCAUUUCUUGUUUUGGUUUAUAUUUACAACGUUAUAACAUA